rnacentral:rRNA from 1 species
UUUCCGUAGGUGAACCUGCGGAAGGAUCAUUAUCGUACAACCGAGGUGCGAGGGUUGUCGCUGACCUUCAAAGGUCGUGCACGCCCGAGCGCUCUCACACAUCCAUCUCACCCAUUUGUGCAUCACCGCGUGGGCCCACCCUUUGCCGGGGAGGGCUUGCGUUUUCACAUAAAACUUGAUACAGUGUAGAAUGUUUUCAUUUGCGGUCACACGCAAUCAAUACAACUUUCAACAACGGAUCUCUUGGCUCUCGCAUCGAUGAAGAACGCAGCGAAAUGCGAUACGUAAUGUGAAUUGCAGAAUUCAGUGAAUCAUCGAAUCUUUGAACGCACCUUGCGCCCCUUGGCAUUCCGAGGGGCACACCCGUUUGAGUGUCGUGAAAUCCUCAAAACCCUUUUCCUUGGGAGAAGGAUUUUGGACUUGGAGGUUUUUAUGCUUGCUUUCACUUUUGGAAAGUGAGCUCCUCUCAAAUGAAUCAGUGGGGUCCGCAAUGCUGAACCUUGACGUGAUAAGAUGUUUCUACGUUUUGGAUUCAACGCACUGUCCCUUGGAUGCCCGCUUCCAACUGUCCCAUGGACAACGAUGGUACUCCGGUCACCGCCGCCAUCUACAUCGGCGGGGGAGGCUGGACCCACCAAAAGGAAACCUUGACCUCAAAUCGGGUGAGACUACCCGCUGAACUUAAGCAUAUCAAUAAGCGGAGGAAAAGAAACUAACAAGGAUUCCCCUAGUAACUGCGAGUGAAG